CCAAUUUGCCAGAGACCAUCCUCGAGUAAAACGUACAUGGUCAAAGCCAGUCUUCUUCAUAAUCGAGGGAGGUCUACAACAUAGUCAUAGGAGGUCGUACACAUAGUUGAGGAAGGUCGUAGGUCACAGCGACAUUGAUUUUUUU